UGCAGAGGCGCCGGUGGUUUCAAGUUGCAGGGCCGGGAGAAAUUUCACGGCAACCAGGAGUAACAAUAUUUUUGGUUACUUGGGAAUACGAUGAUGUUCUGGUGACGUGGAACAUGCUGAGAUUUGGACUUCAAUCCUUGAUUGUGCACGCGGCCGCCGCCGUUGCUGAACACAAACGGGGCUCGAAGCAGGCCAAUCUCUGAGGUGGACCGGGCAACGGAUCGUGGAGAGGCGCCCAAGGAUUUUUUUUUUUGCUUCUGUUGAUUGUGCCAUCCAAUUGGUUUAGACUUUUCACCAUUGCUAAUUACUAGGGGCGUAUGGGUGCCGGACCUGGUAAGUGGCCUGCACGCUACGCUCUUGCCAAAUAAUUUGCAACCAUGCUUGCACUGAAUUUUUAUUUAUUUCCCGAUGUACCUUACAACAACUUCAUGAUGUAGCACUACUUUGCACUAGCAUGCACCUGCAGAUAUAAUAUGGAAAAUGACUGUCAUUUAGAAUUACUUCCAAGCUGCAUCGUCUAUCUGAAUGUCAGCCCGAAACCACUGGUUGGCACACAUAAAAUUUUGGAAGUUAAUGCAUUUCCACAAUAGAGAUGGGAAAUGGAUACAUCGUUGUCGUCCUUCAGUGAGCAGCCGAGGAGGAGCUCCUCCAUGCUGAUGAUGUGGAAGACAGAUACCCUGUCCGCGACGCCUGGUUCUGGCCUCAUAUACAUUGACUUCCUAUGUCAUCAGCAAAUGCAGUGGAGAAGAAGCCGGUUCACCACAUGAUCAUUUAAUUUGUUAUUGUUUUUUAACUAUUCCCUGUUGCAUGUAUAAUCAGAAAAAAUAAAACUCCUCCUUUCGGCCCAUACUAGGAGUCUGGAAGUGAUACUUUUGUGAGGAGUGCUGGAACAUGACUGGAUCAAGCGAGACAGAGAACAAUGGAUGAAAGAAAGAGAUCAGAAAAGGGAUUCACUCCUGACCACCUCAUACAUAUAUACAUGUUGAAAAUAUUGUUGAUUUUGAUUUAAAAAUGGCUAAAUUGGAGGAAAGCAUUUCUGCUACAUUCAUCAGCAAUACUGCACCAUAUA